AACUAGUGAUGUACUGAUUUAUAAGAAUGCAAAUUAUUAGACUCAUCUGUCAUAUGUGUUACAAAAUGUUUUCCAUCUUCUCCUCUUGAUCAUUAGACUGUUUCCUGUGAAGAAUUUUAAAAUUUACAGAGUUUCAUUUAUUAAUAUUUUCACUAGAGUUUCUAUAUUUUGUGUCUUGGGCCUUUUUAUAUUUCGAGGCCCCUACCCCACUCCAUGGCCAGUGUUUACUUCCAAUACUUUUACAAUUUCACUUAUUUUCAAAUCUAUGAUCUCCCUGGAAUUAAUUUGGCCAUAAAGAAUGAGAUAGGGAGUCACCCUUAUUUACUUUUCUCUCCCUAAGUGGAUAGUCAGUUUCAACAUAAUUUUCUCUGUAUUUGAAUAUGGCUCUCUAAUUAUACAUUAGUGUUGGAUCUAUUUCUGGGAUUAAAAAAAUCUGUUUAUUUGUCAUGUCUUCCUAUACCUGUACCUUAAUUACUGUAAUUUAUAAUAGAUAUUAUAAAGUUAAUCUUCAUUUGUUAUUCCUACUUUUCAUAUUUUUCCUAGCUAUACUCACACAUUUAUUUUCAUAUUUUCUAUGUCUUUUGUAAUCAUUAUGUCUAGCCCAAAGUUACCUUGGUAUUUUAGUUGGAAUCACAUUAAAUUUUAACAUCUUUUAAUGUUGUCUUUUUAAGGUACCACUUUCCAUCUAUUCAUGUCCCUCGGUAGAGUUUUAAAAUUUUUCUUCAUAUUGGUCAUAUAAAUUUCUUAAUUAUUAGAAGAUAUUAAUUCUAGGUUUUAGCUGCUUUUAUACAGGAAAUCCAUGUAUUUUCUAUAUUUCUGUAGAUAUGUAGUUAUAUGUUGUAAAAUUCUAAUAAUUUCCAGUUAGUACACUUGGAUUGUAUCCAGGUAUAACAAUCAUAUCAUUUGUAAAUGAUGAUAAUUUUGCCUCUUUUUAUCCACUGUUUAAAUAUUUUAUAUCUCUCUUUCAUUUAAUUGUAUUAGCUGAUACAUCCAGAGCUGAGCCAAAUAAUAGUGGUGAAAUUGCCUUAUUCCCAGCUUCAAUGAGAAUACAUUUACAGUUUCAUAAUUAACUGACACUUUUUUAUACUGAUAUUUUAUUAAUACAUUUUUAUCAUAUAAAGAAUUAUUCUGCUCUUCCACUAUCUUUAACUGGAGGUAAAAAAUGGGCUGUAUUAGACUAAUCAUGAAGAAAUGUAGCUGGAGCUAAAAGAGUCUAGAUCAGUGGCUUUUGAGGUAUGGUUUCCACACCAACAGCAUUGGCAUCACUUGGAAAUUGUUAGAACCACAGAUUCUUGCUGCCCUCCCUCAUCUACUGAAUCAGAAACUUUGGGGAAGGGGCGCAAUAACCUGUACUUUAACAAGACCCCUCCCAGGUGAUCUCGUACAUGCUAAAAUUGGAGACCCACUGACCAAAUGCAGGGGUCAGCAAUUACAGCCCUCAGGCCAACAGUGGUUCUGCUUCCUGUAUUUGUAAAUACUAUUUUACCCCAAGAUAGCCACACUCAUUCAUUUCUGUAUUGCCUAAAGUUGCUUUCAAGCUACAACGGAAAAGGUGAGUAGUUGCCAUAGACAUUGCCUGGUUUGCAAGUCUUAAAAUAUUUACAAUAUGGCCCUUUACAGAAAAUGCUUGCCAACCCUGACCUAGAGCAAUGAUUCUCUGCCUUGGCUGAAAAUUAGAAUCAUAUGGGGCACUUAAAAAAAUACUCAAUCAGAGUCCCAUAACCAAGCAUUUAAACAGACUCUCUAGGGUGGGAUCCAUACAUGUUUUUUUUUCUUUAGCUGAUUCCAAUACUUGAUUGAUAUUUGAUAUUCCAAUACUUGAAUAUCAAUACUUGUAUAUCCCAUACUUGAAUAGCAAUAGUUGAUAGUCCAAUACUUGAUCAAUUUCCCUACUUAAUUCCAAUCUGCUAUAUUGUCGAAACUAAUACUCAUAAAUCCUAUCUGCAUGUGUUUUAUGUUGAUUUAGGUAGACAUGGAUAAAGAGUUAUUUCUCUUUUUCAUGGAUACACAAGAAAUUAAUCCCUGGCACAAUGUAAAUACCACAAUAAAGGCAGAUAAUACAAUAUAAAAUGGCAAGUCAACCAUUAUGCAUGUUUCUCAGGCAAAGCCAGGAGCUUUUUUUCCCUGAAGCUUUUGUUUAGGAAUUGGUUGAAAUGAAUAAAUAUAAAUUAUAUUAGUUCUAUAAAGCAUGUACUGGGCAAUUUUCAAACCCAACUUUGAUUGAUCCGUGAAUUUCCAGUAACAUGCACUCACAUUCAAAUUUCAUAGAUUGCUGAAAACACCAGUGAACCUAUUGAAACAGAGCAGGACUCUGUGGGGCUCCUGAACACAAAAGCCUUUCUAGGUCCCCUGUAGGAAAUAGGCUACAUUUAGCCUCUAUGACCUUCCCUGAGUUCCAAAGGCAGGUUCAAACAGUUGCUAAUCAGGGAAGGGAGGGGAGGCAAAGACAAGGGAGGAGCUGUCAAGAAAUAAUAGUUCAGGAGUUCCUGUUGUGGCUCAGCAGGAAGGAACCUGACUAGUAUCCAAGAGGACUUGGGUUUUAUUCCUGGCCUGGCUCAGAGGGUUAGGGAUCCACGUUGCCAUGAGCUGUGGUAUAGAUCUCAGAGGCAGCUCGCUGGUAGCUGCAGCUCCAAUUCAACCCCUAGCCUGGCAACUUCCACAUGCCACACCUGCGCCCCUAAAAAGCAAGCAAAAACAAAACAAGAAAACAAUAGUUCAGCCUUGGGGCAGGGUCCUGUUUUGAAGGCAUUAGCCUGCUGUGGCCCUUUUUACUCAGCAAAGCAAUAUUCUUUUCUACUUUACCCAAAUUUCUGUCUCUGAGAUUCAGUUUGGUACUGGUAUACAGAGGCCAAAUCUUGGCUACACUAUCAAAGUACCAUAAAAAGUAUCCAAUUGCAUAAUUAUAUAUAUAUAUACCCACAUGCACACACAGACGCAGGCACAAAUACAUAUUAUCAUUAAAUUAUGGUAUAUGUGUAAAACGAGUCCUAUAUACUCGAAAGCUACUUAUAUUUAUGUCUUGUUUACAAAGAUACCCUGUUCAUUUUCUAAUCUUACAGAAAAAAAAAAAAAGACUUUUAAAGCAGCAUUGGGAGAAACUUGGUGCCCAAAACAUUAGGAGUGGAGGAAGCACAGAUGAGUCAAAAAAGAAAGCAUUUUGUUUCUCUUCUGACCCAAUUUAAACUCCAAACUUAAAAAUCAUCAUCUAUUUCAGGAAUUACAGAGAUGGCCCAAGGAAGGUAAUGGACAUUGCAGAUAUGUUAUUUGGGUCCAGGGGCAUGGAAUCUAUUUACUAGCCCUAAGGGCACAACAAGAUCCAGGGGUGAUUUCUAAUUCAGUAUGGCAGGUGAGGGCUUUGACCCCAUUAAUGUCCAUGAGAAAUACCUAGACUCAGAAUGUUUUCCAUAAAGCCAAGCUGAUGUGUGCAGGACAUGCUCAGCAUCCCUGAGGGAAAUGAUUUCUUGUUAUGCAAAUACCAUCACUGUGUGAGAUGUGUAAGAUGACAUAUGAAUAAUUAUAUUUAUAGUGAAAUCUCCUGGUUGGGAGAACAAAUGUGGUAACUACUGCCUUAAGAUGAUUCAAAAUGCUUUUCUUAAUCAAAACCAUGUGAAAACAAUGCAUUUUUUUUAACUUUAAAAAAAGAAAGCCCAGUAGGACCUCAUUGCUUAUCCAUUCUAAAUGUAAUAGUUUAUAUCUACCAACCCCAAUAGCAUAGGGAACUGUAUUCAAUUUCCUAUGAUAGAAUAUGAUGGAAGAUAAUGUGAGAAAAAGAAUGUGUGUGUGCAUAUAUGUAUUUAUGACUGGGUCACUUUGCUGUAUAGCAAAAAUUAGCAAAACAGUGUAAAUCAACUAUAAUUUUAAAAAAAUUUAAAAAAGAAAGCCCAAUGUACACAUACUAAAUCCUGGAAAACUCUUAUCACAGCUCAGUUAAAUCAAGAUCUCAUUUCUUAAGUCCCAUCACUACCACUAACAAAAUAUUACUAGAUUCAGCAAACUAUUCAAUAUCUGAUUGCUGAGACCCCAAGGACUGUGGGUGCUUCGAUCCUGGUUAACAUUAGCACUUUUCUAGGAUUAAAAAAAACCAAGGAAAUAAUAAUGAUCUUUAAAAAUGACCAGACAAUGCCACAUUUAUAUGUACUUUUUACCAGUUAGAGAAAAUUAGGUAAUAGCCGUUCAACACUCCUAUUUGGUGGAUAGAGCUUGUAGUAUCAGCCACAUUGUGCAAAUAGGGGAUGCAGAGUCCCAAAGCAAGUGAGCCAGUAAUGAAGGUGAGAAGCAGAGAUUGCAGAGUUGUCCCAGGAUUGUGAAAAGAAACAAUUAAAAAGAAAAAAAAGCCACAGUUAAAGUCUUUAAAACAGUGCAUUUGAAGUUCUCUUGUGGCGCAUCAGGUUAAAGAUCCAGUGUUGUCACUGCAGUGGAGCAGGUUUGACCCCUGGCUAGGAAACUUCCAUAUCCUGUGAGCAGUGCCCCCCCCACCCCCCAAAAAAUCAGGAAUUCUGGUCGUGGUGCAGUGGGAACAAAUCUGACUAGAAAUCAUGAGGUUGUGGGUUCAAUCACUGG
rnacentral:lncRNA from 1 species